ACAGGUUCCGGUGGUUGACCUUAGAUCAUCGGGUCUUGCCAAGUCAGAGGAGGGAAUCAGAUCCCCUUCAACUGGAGCUGCCAAUGGUUGCAAGCCACACUACAAGAUCUGUCUUCAUAGUCCUACCUGGACUCACACUCAAAAAUCUUCCUGCCUCCUUCCCGAGUCCUGAAAUUGCAGUCACACACCACAAUGCCUACCUUGAUUCUCCUGCACUGAAGUUAGAAUUCCUCCACAGGUUGGCAUCUCAACCUUCUGGUUUCCUUCGAAGAUCACAACUCAAUGAAAGGGACUGGCACCCACCAUUAAACAUAGCAACUUAGGAUGUCUAGUCCCUGACAUAUCUAUCAAAAGGCAAGAGGACCAUUGGAUACUUUAUUGAUACUUCAAGGCUUCUGCCCACAUUACCAGGUAGCUCUUCUGGUAUUGUGACAUUCUGCCAUAGUUUCCAAGGGAAUAUUCCCCUAACCUAAUGGGGCUCAGUAUUGAUCAGGAAAAUGCUCUUUAUAAUUCUAAACUUGCUUCACCAAAUUUUAUUGAUUUAUUUUGUAAGAAGUCAUUCCCUUACAAAAGCUUGGGAUGAGUCUCUACCCUAUCCCCAACUUGACUUUAAAACAAACAAAUCAGGAGAACCAGAAAGGUCAAUCAUGGGCUAAAUUACUCUCCUUGCCUCUCAGCUUUCAAGUGUAAUGCUUCUACUUGAUUUUAAUGGCUGAGUUUCCUCGAAGUUAUGCAGAUCUGAUUACCACUACCAGUUAAUUGGUGUUCCUCAACUCUAGUCCACAUAUUUAUUAUUGGAACUGGAGAAGGCUGCUGUGUAAAGAAGCAGGGCCUUCCUCACAAGGGAAAACGUGAGAUUAUGCCCCUUUCCCAAGUAGGCUGUCAACCACUUCCUUGACUACAAAGAUCAAGAUACUGAUUGCUUUCUUGGCUUGGCCUUGCCUUUUUGAAUCCAUCCCACUCCCCUGGGUCACUCUGACAUAGCUCCCAAAGAAGGCAAAAGGGAAUAGUUAGAGAAGUUACUGAAGCAGGUAUGCCUUGACAUAAAACUUUAAAGGUCACCACUUAGUAGAUCUUUUAUUUCAGAUUUAUUUAUUUUUACUUUAUGCAUAUGGGUAUUUUGACCUGCAUGAAUGACUGUGCACCACAUGUGUGUAAUGCCUGUGGAGGCUAACGAGGGUGUCAGAUCUCUGGAGCCAGUGUCUAGGAUGGUUGUGAGCUCCCAUGCCAUUGCUAGAAACUGAACCUUGGUUCUCUAAAAGAGCAAAAAGUUCUCUUAAUUGCUGAGCCAUCUUUCUAGCCCAAAGCUUAGAAGACUUUAGGAGCUGUCAGCAAUGAUCUAUCACCUGAGGAUGACUUUACAACCACUCCAAAUGCUUCAGGAUCACUAUCCAUAAUGCACUUAAAGGACCAUAAGGUAAAUUAUGUAUUAGAAUUUAACAUCUUAAUUGGCUAUAGGAACAGACAAGCCCCAAAAAGGAUGUAAAUACCUGUAAUUCCAUUUCCUGGGAGGUAAAAACAUAAGGAUCAGUUUAAAUUUAGCCUUGUUACAAGUGGAGUUAAGGCCAAGUGACCUUAGACCCUGUCUCAGAA